rnacentral:rRNA from 1 species
UACGUAGGGUGCGAGCGUUGUCCGGAAUUAUUGGGCGUAAAGAGCUCGUAGGCGGUCUGUCGCGUCGGUCGUGAAAACUUGGGGCUUAACCCUGAGCUUGCGGUCGAUACGGGCAUGACUGGAGUUCGGUAGGGGAGACUGGAAUUCCUGGUGUAGCGGUGAAAUGCGCAGAUAUCAGGAGGAACACCGGUGGCGAAGGCGGGUCUCUGGGCCAUAACUGACGCUGAGGAGCGAAAGCGUGGGGAGCGAACAGG